UUCGCGUGUGUUAUCGUUAAUAAACUAAAAAGACAAAAAAAAAAGAUUCUUUCGCCUUUUACUAAAGAAUUCCGUGGAGAGGGAGCAGUUCAAUGAGUCUUGAACAUUUUUCGAUAUCCGACUUUGGUUCGGUUU
rnacentral:snRNA from 1 species